rnacentral:rRNA from 1 species
AGUGAACGCUGGCGGCGUGCUCAACACAUGCAAGUCGAACGAGAACGGAUUAUAGCUUGCUAUAAUUGUCAGCUAAGUGGCGCACGGGUGAGUAAUGUAUAGGUAAUAUGCCUCUUACUAAGGGAUAACAAAUGGAAACGUUUGCUAAUACCUUAUACUCCUUAUUAACAUAAGUUAAUAAGGGAAAGAUUUAUUGGUAAGAGAUUAGCCUGUAUUGUAUCAGUUAGUUGGUGGGGUAAUGGCUUACCAAGACUAUGACACAUAACUGGUUUGAGAGGAUGAUCAGUCACACUGGAACUGAGACACGGUCCAGACUCCUACGGGAGGCAGCAGUGGGGAAUAUUGCACAAUGGACGGAAGUCUGAUGCAGCAACGCCGCGUGGAGGAUGACACAUUUUGGUGCGUAAACUCCUUUUAUAUGAGAAGAUAAUGACGGUAUUAUAUGAAUAAGCACCAGCUAACUCCGUGCCAGCAGCCGCCGUAA